rfam:Eucalyptus grandis cultivar BRASTZ1 unplaced genomic scaffold scaffold_4, whole genome shotgun sequence.
AUAGGAAAUAACUUUUGUGACGACUCCAAAUAUAAAAUAUUACAGAUGGACAACUUGUCUGCUCUCCCUGAUGUCUCUGAGGCUCUGAUUUGAGGGCCUGGUUGCGACCUACAUUU